UGACUGAAGUUAAGACAUGUGCUCUUUCGAUAUACCGUAAUUUGACGGUAUCCAUACCGUAAAUUGGAUUUACAGUAGUAGUCUGUAAAUCAGAAAUACAGUAUAUUUCUGUAUUCACACUGUUAAAGCAAUAAAAACUUAAGAGAG